GGGGCUCCCAGCCCAGCACGACCCCACUGUGACCACCCCAGCUUGGCCCCAGCCCUGCCUGCGGCCAGGCCCACGCUGCCCCGCGCCCACCACCCUCUCCCCGCUCCGCCUUGUGUCUUCGCAGAGACUUCUCCAUUUCCCAGCGUGGAGGUUGCAAUUGCCGUGCUCUUCUUCCUCCUCCUUAUCUUCAUCCUCGCCUUCUGCGUGUACCACAAGAAGCGGCGGGGUGAGGGGCAGAGCCAGGGUGCAGCCGGGGCACCCGCACGCGGCUGCUUACCCACCCGUGCCCCGUGCUGUGCAGGGAGCCCUGGGACCCCCAGCGAAGUCCGGGAUGCAGAGACCCCGAGGCUGCCCCCCCAGCAGAGCAGCGAGCAGGACAAGGACGUCCACUACGCCGACCUGCAGCCCCUGCCCGAGGCGGCGCGGCGCAGCCGGAGCCCCGGUGCGGAUCGCUCUGAGUACGCCAG